rnacentral:rRNA from 1 species
GACGAACGCUGGCGGCAGGCUUAACACAUGCAAGUCGAACGAGAAGCUGACUUCGGUCAGUGGAAAGUGGCAGACGGGUGAGUAACGCGUGGGAACGUACCUCUUGGUUCGGAACAACUCAGGGAAACUUGAGCUAAUGCCGGAUAAGCCCUCCGGGGGAAAGAUUUAUCGCCGAGAGAUCGGCCCGCGUUAGAUUAGCUUGUUGGUGGGUAAAAGCCCACCAAGGCGACGAUCUAUAGCUGGUCUGAGAGGAUGAUCAGCCACACUGGGACUGAGACACGGCCCAGACUCCUACGGGAGGCAGCAGUGGGGAAUAUUGGACAAUGGGCGCAAGCCUGAUCCAGCCAUGCCGCGUGGAUGAAGAAGGCCCUAGGGUUGUAAAAUCCUUUCGCCAGGGAAGAUAAUGACGGUACCUGGAGAAGAAGCCCCGGCUAAUUUCGUG